GGAAUAUUGGACAAUGGCCGAGAGGCUGAUCCAGCCAUGCCGCGUGCGGGAGGACGGCCCUAUGGGUUGUAAACCGCUUUUGUUGGGGAGCAAUAAGUCUUACGUGUAAGAUGAUGAGAGUACCCAGCGAAUAAGCAUCGGAUAACUCCGUGCCAGCAGCCGCGGUAAUACGGAGGAUGCGAGCGUUAUCCGGAUUUAUUGGGUUUAAAGGGUGCGUAGGCGGGUUCUUAAGCGUGAGGUGAAAUGCCACGGCUCAACCGUGGAACUGCCUCGCGAACUGGAGGCCUUGAAUGUCCGUGCCGUGGGAGGAAUGUGUGGUGUAGCGGUGAAAUGCAUAGAGAUCACACAGAACACCGAUUGCGAAGGCAUCUCACGAAGGGGUGAUUGACGCUGAGGCACGAAAGCGUGGGGAUCAAACA
rnacentral:rRNA from 1 species